GGGGGCGUGGCGGAAUUGGCAUACGCAGCGGACUUAAAAUCCGCCGUCGCAAGACAUGAGGGUUCGAGUCCCUCCGCCCCUACCA
rnacentral:tRNA from 1 species